GCAUGGAUGACUAGCAUGCGAGUCAUUGUAGCAAUACAAGGCAGACGGCUCAGUAACGCGUAGUCAACCUACCCUAUGGACGGGAAUAACCUCGGGAAACUGAGAAUAAUACCCGAUAGAACAUUAUGCCUGGAAUGGUUUAUGUUUCAAAUGAUUUAUCGCCGUAGGAUGGGACUGCGGCCUAUCAGUUUGUUGGUGAGGUAAUGGCCCACCAAGACUAUUACAGGUACGGGCUCUGAGAGGAGUAGCCCGGAGAUGGGUACUGAGACACGGACCCAGGCCCUAUGGGGCGCAGCAGGCGAGAAAACUUUGCAAUGUGCGAAAGCACGACAAGGUUAAUCCGAGUGGUUUCUGCUAAAGGAACCUUUUGUCAGUCCUAGAAACACUGAUGAAUAAGGGGUGGGCAAGUUCUGGUGUCAGCCGCCGCGGUAAAACCAGCACCUCAAGUGGUCAGGAUGAUUAUUGGGCCUAAAGCAUCCGUAGCCGGCUCUGUAAGUUUUCGGUUAAAUCUGUACGCUCAACGUACAGGCUGCCGGGAAUACUGCAGAGCUAGGGAGUGGGAGGGGUAGACGGUACUCGGUAGGAAGGGGUAAAAUCCUUUGAUCUAUUGAUGACCACCUGUGGCGAAGGCGGUCUACCAGAACACGUCCGACGGUGAGGGAUGAAAGCUGGGGGAGCAAACCGGAUUAGAUACCCGGGUAGUCCCAGCUGUAAACUAUGCAAACUCAGUGAUGCAUUGGCUUGUGGCCAAUGCAGUGCUGCAGGGAAGCCGUUAAGUUUGCCGCCUGGGGAAGUACGUACGCAAGUAUGAAACUUAAAGGAAUUGGCGGGGGAGCACCACAAGGGGUGAAGCCUGCGGUUCAAUUGGAGUCAACGCCGGG
rnacentral:rRNA from 1 species